GACGUAGGAGGCGAGCGUUGUCCGGAUUCAUUGGGCGUAAAGGGCGCGUAGGUGGCUGGACAAGCGUGCGGUGAAAGCCUGGGGCUCAACCCCGGGUCGGCCGUGCGAACUGUUUUGCUUGAGCACUGUAGAGGCAGGCGGAAUUCCGGGUGUAGCGGUGGAAUGCGUAGAGAUCCGGAAGAACACCGGUGGCGAAGGCGGCCUGCUGGGCAGUAGCUGACACUGAGGCGCGACAGCGUGGGGAGCAAACAGG
rnacentral:rRNA from 1 species